GACGAACGCUGGCGGCGUGCUUAACACAUGCAAGUCGAACGGAAAGGCCCUGCUUUUGUGGGGUGCUCGAGUGGCGAACGGGUGAGUAACACGUGAGUAACCUGCCCUUGACUUUGGGAUAACUUCAGGAAACUGGGGCUAAUACCGGAUAGGAGCUCCUGCUGCAUGGUGGGGGUUGGAAAGUUUCGGCGGUUGGGGAUGGACUCGCGGCUUAUCAGCUUGUUGGUGGGGUAGUGGCUUACCAAGGCUUUGACGGGUAGCCGGCCUGGGAGGGUGACCGGCCACAUUGGGACUGAGAUACGGCCCAGACUCCUACGGUAGGCAGCGGUGGGGAAUAUUGCACAAUGGGCGGAAGCCUGAUGCGGCAACGCCGCGUGCGGGAUGACGGCCUUCGGGUUGUAAACCGCUUUCGCCUGUGACGAAGCGUGAGUGACGGUAAUGGGUAAAGAAGCACCGGCUAACUACGUG
rnacentral:rRNA from 1 species